GCGGAGCGGUGCAUUUCGGGAGAUGUAGUUUUCCCUACGGGAUUGUGGGAGUCGUGGUUUGUCAGCACCGGGCCAGGAGGCCCAGCCGCCUUGAGUUAUCAGAGCUUCCAGCUACCUCUCAUGCCGGUGUCUACGAGUUGCGUUGGUCAGGAGUGAACUCACAGCUGGCCCGCCAUGAACUGGAAGGUUCUUGAACACGUGCCCCUGCUGCUGUAUAUCUUGGCAGCAAAGACCCUGAUCCUCUGCCUGGCCUUUGCGGGAGUGAAAAUAUACCAAAGGAAAAGCCUGGAAGCGAAACUGCAAGCCGAGGAGAAGAAGAAGCGGUCGGAGAAGAAAGAGAACUAAGGAGAUAGCAGAGAUGAAGAGGUGACCUCUCAGCUUCCUGUUCUGGCUGUCUGCUGCCAUGCCUCCCUCACCACUGUGGACCCUCCCUCUGCAACUCAGCAAGUUCUGGCACAUUGACAACACCCAGGUCCUUGGCAAGAGAGGAACCAGAUGUAUGCCAGAGUCCCAGGACCAUUUCCAAGUACUAGGAAGUCAUCGGGUGCCUCUCAGGAGGGAGGCGCAGUCUCUGGGGAUGGACUGGGGCAUACUGUGCACUCAGCCCUUGGAGAGGGAAGCAGAGACACUUCUUACAGAUGGGCCUUGUCUGAGUACUUUUAAAUUUUUGUGCAACUCAAGCUGCUUCUCCAACAUAGAACCUCCCUCCACCAGGGCCGCUUGUGCCCACGGAAGACUUCUUGUAGCUCCAGAGGACACCGAAUUGCCUGAAAAGAGCUAUGGAGAGAUGUGGAGAUCCUUGUCAUUGGGACCAAAAGAGACUGUGCCGCAUGAUAAGCUAUCGUGGUGCCAAAGGAGAGACAUGUGGAGAACCAGGUUUGUUUCGUGCAGACAGCAGAGACGGUGUGCUCAUCAAAGAAGCUGAGAGCCUCUCACAGCUCCACUUGGAGUGGGGAAGUGGUUCGUUGCAGAGGUGGGAAGACACUUCCAUCACCAGUCCCAAAGCUUGUUAUUUCCCUGGAGGUAGAUACUCUGUUGUCUGAGAAAGAUGAAGUCAUCCCUGUUGGUUUCAGGGUGUGUACACGGAGGGGCAGGACCCUGAGGGGCCGGACGGAGGUGGAUUAGAAGGUUGAUAAUGUCUGGAUCCAAGAGGUGGUGGCUGAUGAACCACAUGGGCAUGCUAAGGAGCCAGCACUCACCUGGGGUGUGGAGGCUGGUUGGUAGAAGACAGCUCUGAGUAUGUGGGCCCAAGCCAGUACCCGGGAACAAGCUCAGACAUGGGGACCCACCCCUGAACUGUGAUCUCAUCCCUAGCAGGCCACCACUCUACAGCUGGCUUGUCCACGACUUCUGCACAUGGAGAAUGGUACCUGCUCAUCACCUGCCUAGAUACAGCCAAACGCUGGAAACAAUGUGCUCCAAAACAACCCCAAGCAGCUGUAAGAUCAGCAUAUCCCAAGCUUGGCUAUGAACUUGAUGUUAUCACUGAUUAGCUAAUGUGGAUCUGUUGGUCCUACAUCACAGUCAGCCACAAAUAUGGAGGCCAUGGGAAAUUGGGGACUGUGGUGGCUUGGAUGAGAUGUCCCCACAGUUUUGGGACAUUUGAACACUUGGUCCCCUGUUGGUGGCACUGUUUGGGGAGGUUUAUGAGGUGUGGCCUUGCUGGAGGAAGUGUGUCCCUGGGGAAGGGCUUUGAGUUUAAGACUGAACCACUUCUCAUUCACCCUCUUCCUCCUUGGGGUUCAAGACUUACUCAGCUUCCUGCUCCAGCUGCCAUGUCUCCACUAUGCCAUCAUAGACUCUUAGCCCUCUGGAGCCAUAAACCCACAUAAAGUCUCUCUUCUAGAAGUUGCCUUGGUUGUGGUGUUUUAUCACAGUGAUAAAAAAGUAGCUCAUGCAGGGCCAGAGGAGAGGAAAACAUUUCUAUGUGGUUUUGCUAUUGUUUCAAUUAUCUGCAAUGCUUUCCCUUUUUGGUCUGUGUGGCAGAGGCCUUUCCAUUUGUUCGAAUCACCUUAGUAACGCUGGACUUUGUUUUUUGAAAGAUUUAAUAACAGUAAUAAUAAUAUUAUUAUUAUUUGAGACAUGUCUCACUGUGUAGCUCUGGCUGUUCUGAAACUCGCUCUAUAGACCAGGCUGGCCUCGAAUACACAGAGGUCCACCUGCCUCUGCCUGCUGAGUGCUGGGAUUAAAAGCAUGUGCCACCGUGCUUGGCUUACA